rnacentral:rRNA from 1 species
AAAUUAGACUCGUAGUGACCUGCGGAGGGAUCAUUACACAAAUAUGAAGGCGGGCUGGAACCUCUCGGGGUUACAGCCUUGCUGAAUUAUUCACCCUUGUCUUUUGCGUACUUCUUGUUUCCUUGGUGGGUUCGCCCACCACUAGGACAAACAUAAACCUUUUGUAAUUGCAAUCAGCGUCAGUAACAAAUUAAUAAUUACAACUUUCAACAACGGAUCUCUUGGUUCUGGCAUCGAUGAAGAACGCAGCGAAAUGCGAUAAGUAGUGUGAAUUGCAGAAUUCAGUGAAUCAUCGAAUCUUUGAACGCACAUUGCGCCCUUUGGUAUUCCAAAGGGCAUGCCUGUUCGAGCGUCAUUUGUACCCUCAAGCUUUGCUUGGUGUUGGGCGUCUUGUCUCUAGCUUUGCUGGAGACUCGCCUUAAAGUAAUUGGCAGCCGGCCUACUGGUUUCGGAGCGCAGCACAAGUCGCACUCUCUAUCAGCAAAGGUCUAGCAUCCAUUAAGCCUUUUUUUCAACUUUUGACCUCGGAUCAGGUAGGGAUACCCGCUGAACUUAAGCAUAUCAAAAGCCGGAGGAA